CAGGGGGGGGGUGCUAAUACAUGCAAGUAGAACGCUGAAGAGAGGAGCUUGCUCUUCUUGGAUGAGUUGCGAACGGGUGAGUAACGCGUAGGUAACCUGCCUUGUAGCGGGGGAUAACUAUUGGAAACGAUAGCUAAUACCGCAUAACAAUGGAUGACACAUGUCAUUUAUUUGAAAGGGGCAAUUGCUCCACUACAAGAUGGACCUGCGUUGUAUUAGCUAGUAGGUGAGGUAACGGCUCACCUAGGCGACGAUACAUAGCCGACCUGAGAGGGUGAUCGGCCACACUGGGACUGAGACACGGCCCAGACUCCUACGGGAGGCAGCAGUAGGGAAUCUUCGGCAAUGGGGGCAACCCUGACCGAGCAACGCCGCGUGAGUGAAGAAGGUUUUCGGAUCGUAAAGCUCUGUUGUAAGUCAAGAACGAGUGUGAGAGUGGAAAGUUCACACUGUGACGGUAGCUUACCAGAAAGGGACGGCUAACUACGUGCCAGCAGCCGCGGUAAUACGUAGGUCCCGAGCGUUGUCCGGAUUUAUUGGGCGUAAAGCGAGCGCAGGCGGUUUGAUAAGUCUGAAGUUAAAGGCUGUGGCUCAACCAUAGUUCGCUUUGGAAACUGUCAAACUUGAGUGCAGAAGGGGAGAGUGGAAUUCCAUGUGUAGCGGUGAAAUGCGUAGAUAUAUGGAGGAACACCGGUGGCGAAAGCGGCUCUCUGGUCUGUAACUGACGCUGAGGCUCGAAAGCGUGGGGAGCGAACAGGAUUAGAUACCCUGGUAGUCCACGCCGUAAACGAUGAGUGCUAGGUGUUGGAUCCUUUCCGGGAUUCAGUGCCGCAGCUAACGCAUUAAGCACUCCGCCUGGGGAGUACGACCGCAAGGUUGAAACUCAAAGGAAUUGACGGGGGCCCGCACAAGCGGUGGAGCAUGUGGUUUAAUUCGAAGCAACGCGAAGAACCUUACCAGGUCUUGACAUCCCGAUGCUAUUUCUAGAGAUAGAAAGUUACUUCGGUACAUCGGUGACAGGUGGUGCAUGGUUGUCGUCAGCUCGUGUCGUGAGAUGUUGGGUUAAGUCCCGCAACGAGCGCAACCCCUAUUGUUAGUUGCCAUCAUUCAGUUGGGCACUCUAGCGAGACUGCCGGUAAUAAACCGGAGGAAGGUGGGGAUGACGUCAAAUCAUCAUGCCCCUUAUGACCUGGGCUACACACGUGCUACAAUGGUUGGUACAACGAGUUGCGAGUCGGUGACGGCAAGCUAAUCUCUUAAAGCCAAUCUCAGUUCGGAUUGUAGGCUGCAACUCGCCUACAUGAAGUCGGAAUCGCUAGUAAUCGCGGAUCAGCACGCCGCGGUGAAUACGUUCCCGGGCCUUGUACACACCGCCCGUCACACCACGAGAGUUUGUAACACCCGAAGUCGGUGAGGUAACCUUUUGGAGCCAGCCGCCUAAGGUGGAUUAAGAGGG
rnacentral:rRNA from 1 species